UACGGAGGGGGCGAGCGUUAUUCGGAAUUAUUGGGCGUAAAGGGCGCGUAGGCGGCUCGAUAAGUCAAAGGUGAAAUCCCUCGGCUCAACUGGGAGGGGCCCUUUGAUACUGUCGGUCUUGAGAUGCCUAGAGGAGAGUGGAAUUCCCGGUGUAGUGGUGGAAUGCGUAGAGAUCGGCAGGAACACCCAGGGGGAAACCAGUGGACUGGGCAUGUGCUGACGCUCAGGUGCGAAAGCGUGGGGAGCGAACCGG
rnacentral:rRNA from 1 species